GGGCGCAUAGCUCAGUUGGUAGAGCAGCUGACUCUUAAUCAGCGGGUCGCAGGUUCGAGUCCUGCUGCGCCCACCA
rnacentral:tRNA from 3 species